AAACCCAUUCUAAUAUAAGAACUCGGAAUGCUUAAUUGAAUACGGAAACUUGACUUUGAAUAUGAUAAUGAAAUAGUGGAAUGCAAGCAAUAAGUAAGGCCGGGAAGCGGGAGUCUAAGAAAGUCAGAAAAGGUUUACUGGCAGCUUGGAAGCAUUGAAGGUAGGCUUUGUACUACAUAUUUGCAUUAUUCGGAUUUAGAUCUUGAUUCUUGCAUGUAGGGUUCGAUUCUCAUUGCUACUAACUAAUAGUAUUCUGACUACCAAAAUAAUACCUUCAAUCUUAUAGUUCGUUGUCUAAGCCUAAAAGCAAGGAGCGAGAGAAUGCAAGUAAACAGUAUAAGAAGCAAGCAAGGAUCGAUGGCAGUAGUACAAAAAGAAAAGACAGGACAGUUAGAGUUGGAACAAGUAAGGACGGGCUUAUAGACAGUGGUUCGAUUCUAUUAGAUAGCAGCUAAAGUCUAAUUAGUACUAGUUCAAUUCGUAUAGGCACCGGUUCCAUUCUUAUUAGUCAUAGUAUAAGUCUUAUUAAUAAUAGUGUAGUUUGAAAGCAAGGCAGUUCUAAGAUUAUUGUUGCGACUACUUAUAUUUAUGGUUACUUUAGCUUGAUGAAAUGGAAUCUAAAGGGCGACGAAGCUGGAAGGAACGCAACCUCAACGUAGAGGAAAUUCGAAGAUCUUUUAUCCUUCACAAGAGAAUACAUAGAAUAAGAGAGGCUUUAGCGAGGCAUAACAGAUAGAGGUAACUAACCACCCUAGCGCUUCCUCCUUUCAAAUCAUAGUUUUGAGUUUCCGUUUUCAUUGUGGAAUUGAGUUUCGUAUCAGACCUAUUAUCCCCUUACUUCUUUGCUUGAGCAUACCUCGAAUUCUUAUGCUCCUUGCUUGAAUCCAAUAGUGACUUGCCCGGUAGGCACUACAUAAGUUCUGUACUCUUGUAUUGAUUGCUUCUUAUCGGUAUCGUUUCGAUUCUUGCUAGGCAGUGCUUGAUUCCCUGGCAUACAAACGGACUCUUUGACUACUUAGCUCUAUUCUUGUACUGCUUAGUUUGAUCCUAUUACCCAUGGGUUUACUUCUUCUUCUUAUUCCUUAUACUCUAUAUGUGCUACAUCGUACCCAAGAUGCACUAUACUAUAUCGUACCUAAGGGCGAGAGCAAAGCAAGGACGGGAAGAAUGAGAUCACGGAGUCAAAGAACGAGUUGAACAAGUAAGGCGUGGACAAGCGACAUCGGGUGCUGUGCUAAGAAACCUC
rnacentral:lncRNA from 1 species